AACGAACGCUGGCGGCAUGCCUAACACAUGCAAGUCGAACGAGACCUUCGGGUCUAGUGGCGCACGGGUGCGUAACGCGUGGGAAUCUACCCUCAGGUUCGGAAUAACUCAGAGAAAUUUGAGCUAAUACCGGAUGAUGACGUAAGUCCAAAGAUUUAUCGCCUGAGGAUGAGCCCGCGUAGGAUUAGGUAGUUGGUGAGGUAAAGGCUCACCAAGCCGACGAUCCUUAGCUGGUCUGAGAGGAUGAUCAGCCACACUGGGACUGAGACACGGCCCAGACUCCUACGGGAGGCAGCAGUGGGGAAUAUUGGACAAUGGGCGAAAGCCUGAUCCAGCAAUGCAGCGGGAGUGAUGAAGGCCUUAGGGUUGUAAAGCUCUUUUACCCGGGAUGAUAAUGACAGUACCGGGAUAAUAAGCUCCGGCUAACUCCGUG
rnacentral:rRNA from 1 species